GACCACAGGAAACAGCCACCAUGGACUGUAACCUGGGAACUGUUACUGGUACUUAUGCUCGCUGGUACAAACAGAUUCCAGGAGGAGUUCCUCAGUUUGUGUUGAGGAAUCAUCACAGUU